rnacentral:sRNA from 1 species
UAUAACUUGUUUUUUUUGCAGAACCCUACUCGUCCAGCUCUGAACUGCUCUGUUGAAAAUGCCCAUCCAACUGUUUCUUACUAUGCGCGUCCCCAAGUGGCAUCGUACAAUACCUACUACCAUAGCCCUCCUCAUCUACCACCAUAUUCUGCUUAUGACUUUCAGCAUUCCGGAGUCUUUCCAUCCUCUCCUCCAUCUGGACUCUCCGAUGAGCAGGAGCCCCAAUCGCCCUCUCCUUCACCCAGCUACAUGUGGUCCUCCAGUGCGCCACCCCGUUAUUCUCCACCCUACUACCCGCCUUUUGAAAAGCCACCACCUUACAGUCCUUAAAGAGGAAUACUCGUCGGCUAUUGAUAUUGUGGCUUUUGUAUUUCUGCUCUAGUGGAAGUGUGUAGGGUACAUCUAAAGUGUGACUCUUCUACAUCAAGUUUUACAAUAGCUUGCCAAGCUAGGGAAAGAUAGGGAUGAAGCUUAUUCAUUAUCAGGGAAGGGCAGGGUUGGCUAGGCCAAACCCAGUAUUUUCAAGAAAGGAAGCUCACUAAGCAGGGCUGGGGAGCCAGUCGGCAAGAGUGUGGCUUCUUCAGAUCUGCAUUUCCUGAUGCUCCACCUCUACACAAGUGUGGCUGCCAUCUGCUUCACUUUAUGUAAAGGACUGUUGUCCUCAGGCCCUUGGUAGAUGGCCGUGACAGCACCUCGGUUGAAUCACCUGGUCUAUAGGCUCUAUCUUUCCCUACCAUUAAUGUCACGCUUAGGAAACCUUCCUAGCUGAUUGGGGCUACACAGUAGUUCCAAUACAGAAAGUUCUGGCUUUUUGUUUGCUCGUGUCUGGAUAUUGAAAAAAGCUGCCCAUAUCUUUACUCUGUUCUCCGAGUCUUAUAAAAAUGGCUGUUGUGAUCAUUCAGCUCAGCUUUUGUGACUGGGACCUCCUAAGGGGAAAAGUGCAAUGGCCUGCUAUCCUGAGUGGUGAGAUCAGGACUGGCUGGUGGAGAAGCACCAAAAUACACGAGCAACAUGUGUGUUGUUUUCAGUAGAUCUCAGUAUACAUCUGACAACUUAGGAGACAGUGUUCCUACUAUAUGUUGCAUUAUUACAAAACACAUUUGCUACUGGAGAUAUAAAUCUUACAGUUGAAAUUCAGAGUUUAAAAAUGCUAGAUUAGGUUGGGUCGUGGUAUGAAUUGUUACUUAUCUUUGUGACUAUUUAAUCUUCAGCUAUUGUGCUUUGACCCCAGCAAAUCGCACGAUCCUGCACCCCACCACUUAAAACUCAUCUGUAUUUUAAUGCCACUGCUCUUAUUGGUCCUUCUUUUUUUCCCGUUGAGAUCAAUUGUGACAGCAUUCAAUUCAAGAUUAUGAAAACCUUAUAAUGCCAUUUCAAGUCUUUAAGACCUCAGAUACAGCCAACUUGACAAAUUCUUAAGUGUUACACAUUUAAAAUCCAUCUGGCGUAUUGUGGUAGUUCUAUAGUUGUUUUAAUUAUACAGAGCUUUAAACCAUCAAGCUGUUGAGUUAAAAACAGUCUGGCACCCAUGCCUUCACUCCAGCAUGAACACAGUCACUGGGAUUUUAUUUUAACCUGAGAAAUGGUUUAAAAGAAGAUUGAUAAUCCUACACUUGCAUUAUGUAAAAGUACAGGAGUUACAGAGACGCCUAGACAGUUCUGCAAACACAAGAACAUACACUGGAAACAUUUCCAGCCCAUUUCGCUGCCUCCCAUCUUUGAUGGUUGGAGGUAGCAGACAAAUGCUGGUGCUCCCAUUUACCUGGUCAUCGAGAAUCACCAAGGCACAACAAGUGCACUCACCAUUCACAGUAAAUGUUUGCAAAAACAUUCAGUUAAACUUUCAGUGUCACAUUCUCUUAUCCAGACUUCAAAUCCAAAAGACUAAAAUCCUUUGAUGUUACACAAAGUUACUGUUAGUUUUACACUUCUGAACAUAUUAAAAUUCUAUUGGCUUUCAAAAAGGACUAAUAAUCAGUUGACUUAUACACAUAUCUAAGGGUUAUUUUUCUUGUCAUUUACACUUUACCCCUUGCUUUAGUGGAUGUGUAUAUUUUAAAGGCACCAUUACAAAGUAUAUCUUUAAUGAUCACAUUUCUUAAAGUGUUAAGAUUCUAUGACUCAUUUCUAUGUAUUUUUUUUACUUUACAAAAUAACUUGAAACUAUAGAUUUUGUAACUCUUAAUUUGAGCAGCUUUUCUUAUUACAUUGAAUUAUAUCAAGUGCAUGCUACCUUAGGAAAAAUUAAUAUUUGCUGCUUCACUCUUCUGCAAAACAUUUGCUGUAAUCAAGGAAUUUGUAUUUCCAAUGUAUCUUGACUGCAUUUUAUAACAUUUACUGCUUUCUUCCUAAUUCUGCUUUAAAGUACUGAACUGGGCAUGAAGUAUUAAAAUAUUAAUUCAAAACCUGUAUAAACUAGAUGUUGCUUAAAAUCUGUAUCACUGCCAUGUUGGAAACCCACACAGCUUUUGUGAUGUUUCAAAUUAAUAAAAUUAUCCUCCCUAUCCACUUA